CAGUAGCCGCGGUAAUACGAAGGGGGCUAGCGUUGUUCGGAAUCACUGGGCGUAAAGCGCACGUAGGCGGACUUUUAAGUCAGGGGUGAAAUCCCAAGGCUCAACCUUGGAACUGCCUUUGAUACUGGAAGUCUUGAGUUCGGGAGAGGUGAGUGGAACUGCGAGUGUAGAGGUGAAAUUCGUAGAUAUUCGCAAGAACACCAGUGGCGAAGGCGGCUCACUGGCCCGAUACUGACGCUGAGGUGCGAAAGCGUGGGGAGCAAACAGGAUUAGAUACCCCUGUAGUCCCUGUCUCUUAUAA
rnacentral:rRNA from 1 species